rnacentral:rRNA from 1 species
AUUGAACGCUGGCGGCAGGCCUAACACAUGCAAGUCGAACGAGUGGCGGACGGGUGAGUAAUGUCUGGGAAACUGCCCGAUGGAGGGGGUUAACUACUGGAAACGGUAGCUAAUACCGCAUACCAUCGGAUGUGCCCAGAUGGGAUUAGCUAGUGGUGGGGGCAAUGGCUCACCUAGGUGACGAUCCCUAGCUGGUCUGUGAGGAUGAACAGCCACACUGGAACUGAGACACGGUCCAGACUCCUACGGGAGGCAGCAGUGGGGAAUAUUGGACAAUGGGCGAAAGCCUGAUGCAGCCAUGCCGCGUGUAUGAAGAAGGUCUUCGGGUUGUAAAGUACUUUCAGCUAGGAGGCGUUACUCGCAGAAGAAGCACCGGCUAACUCCGUGCCAGCAGCCGCGGUAAUUC